CCAAGACCAAGACGUGGACGGCCAAGAGAACGAUAACGAACAGAGACGCGUUAUCCAGAAUCCACGGUCCAGAUGUCGUCGUCGGUCUCCUCUCCGCCAUUGCCCAGAUCUCCAAAAGCUUCAGGGGCUCGCACCCUCGCCGCUGGCCAACGAAGCUCCACCUCGCCACGUCGAGAGAAGAGGGAGCGAGGCUUGAGGAGCUGGUUCGACCACAAUUACGCAAACAUCCUCCCGGCCCUUGGGUUAUGAUUUGAUCUUGGGCGUACCAUGUCCAGCGUUGAGACAUAUACUACUGGUUAGGUUAGACCGUCUGUGGGGGUCGCACGAGCACGAGUAAAAGUCUU
rnacentral:lncRNA from 1 species